GACGGGGACCCGCACAAGCGGUGGAUGAUGUGGAUUAAUUCGAUGCAACGCGAAAAACCUUUACCUACCCUUGACAUGUCCGGAAUCCCGAAGAGAUUUGGGAGUGCUCGCAAGAGAGCCGGAACACAGGUGCUGCAUGGCUGUCGUCAGCUCGUGUCGUGAGAUGUUGGGUUAAGUCCCGCAACGAGCGCAACCCUUGUCAUUGGUUGCCAUCAUUUGGUUGGGCACUCUAAUGAGACUGCCGGUGACAAACCGGAGGAAGGUGGGGAUGACGUCAAGUCCUCAUGGCCCUUAUGGGUAGGGCUUCACACGUCAUACAAUGGUCGGUACAGAGGGUUGCCAACCCGCGAGGGGGAGCUAAUCCCACAAAGCCGAUCGUAGUCCGGAUCGCAGUCUGCAACUCGACUGCGUGAAGUCGGAAUCGCUAGUAAUCGUGGAUCAGCAUGUCACGGUGAAUACGUUCCCGGGCCUU
rnacentral:rRNA from 1 species